AACCCCUGUGACAUACCUAUACGUUGCCUCGGCGGAUCAGCCCGCGCCCCGUAACAAGGGACGGCCCGCCCGAGGACCCCUAAACUCUGUUUUUAGUGGAACUUCUGAGUAAAACAAACAAAUAAAUCAAAACUUUCAACAACGGAUCUCUUGGUUCUGGCAUCGAUGAAGAACGCAGCAAAAUGCGAUAAGUAAUGGGAAUUGCAGAAUUCAGUGAAUCAUCGAAUCUUUGAACGCACAUUGCGCCCGCCAGUAUUCUGGCGGGCAUGCCUGUUCGAGCGUCAUUUCAACCCUCAAGCUCAGCUUGGUGUUGGGACUCGCGGUAACCCGCGUUCCCCAAAUCGAUUGGCGGUCACGUCGAGCUUCCAUAGCGUAGUAAUCAUACACCUCGUUACUGGUAAUCGUCGCGGCCACGCCGUAAAACCCCAACUUCUGAAUGUUGACCUCGGAUCAGGUAGGAAUACCCGCUGAACUUAAGCAUAUCA
rnacentral:rRNA from 1 species